GAAUUUUGCGCGCGGAGCGGAAUUUCUCUUUGUCUUUUCUAAUUAGUUCUAUCCGAGAAAUUACAAGACAAAGAAAAAUUCUGCUCCGCGCGCAAAAUUCCGCCUAGU
rnacentral:miRNA from 1 species